GGAGUUAGCCGGUGCUUCUUCUGUGAGUGAUGUCCUUCCUGCCGGCUAUUAACCCGCAGGCCUUCUUCCUCACUGAAAGUGCUUUACAACCCGAAGGCCUUCUUCACACACGCGGCAUGGCUGGAUCAGGGUUGCCCCCAUUGUCCAAUAUUCCCCACUGCUGCCUCCCGUAGGAGUCUGGUCCGUGUCUCAGUCCCAGUGUGGCUGAUCAUCCUCUCAGACCAGCUACGGAUCGUCGCCUUGGUGAGCCGUUACCUCACCAACCAGCUAAUCCGACAUAGGCUCAUCCGAUAGCGCGAGGCCCGAAGGUCCCCCGCUUUCCCCCGUAGGGCGUAUGCGGUAUUAGCCUGGGUUUCCCCAGGUUAUCCCCCACUACCGGGCAGAUUCCUAUGCAUUACUCACCCGUCCGCCGCUCGCCACCAGGGAGCAAGCUCCCCGUGCUGCCGCUCGACUUGCAUGUGUUAGGCCUGCCGCCAGCGUUCAAUCUGAGCCAGAAUCAAACUCUGA
rnacentral:rRNA from 1 species